GCAGUCGAACGAGGUACUUUUGUAGUAAUACGAAAGUGUCCUAGUGGCGAACGGGUGAGUAACGCGUUGGUGACCUACCCCAAAGUGUGGGAUAACAGUUCGAAAGGAUUGCUAAUACCGCAUGUGGUCUUCGGAUUUAGAAACUGAUGACUAAAGGAGUAAUCCGCUUUGGGAGGGACCUGCGUCCCAUCAGCUAGUUGGUGAGGUAAUGGCUCACCAAGGCUACGACGGGUAGGGGACCUGAGAGGGUGACCCCCCACAAUGGAACUGAAACACGGUCCAUACACCUACGGGUGGCAGCAGUAGGGAAUAUUGCACAAUGGGCGAAAGCCUGAUGCAGCAACGCCGCGUGUGCGAUGAAGGCCUUCGGGUCGUAAAGCACUUUUCUGAGGGAUGAGCAAGGACAGUACCUCAGGAAUAAGUCUCGGCUAACUACGUGCCAGCAGCCGCGGUAAAACGUAGGAGGCAAGCGUUAUCCGGAUUCACUGGGCGUAAAGCGCGUGCAGGCGGUUCGGUAAGUUGGGCGUGAAAUCUCCUGGCUUAACUAGGAGAGGUCGUUCAAUACUACCGGACUUGAGAGUGGUAGAGGAAGAUGGAAUUCCCGGUGUAGUGGUGAAAUGCGUAGAUAUCGGGAGGAACACCAGUGGCGAAAGCGAUCUUCUGGACCAUUUCUGACGCUCAGACGCGAAAGCUAGGGUAGUAAACGGGAUUAGAGACCCCGGUAAUCCUAGCCGUAAACGAUGUAAACUUGGCGUCGGUGGCUUAAACUCCAUCGGUGCCGCAGCUAACGCGAUAAGUUUACCGCC
rnacentral:rRNA from 1 species